UGCCACGUGCCUUCAAGCGUUCUGUGCAC
rnacentral:piRNA from 1 species